AUCAUAUUAAUGCUAGAUCCAUAAUCUAUCAUUGUCCUUCCUAUAUCCACAUCAUUAAUGACGCAUGGCAAAGUCAAACACCCUAGAUCCUUCAUUUUUGGUGCAUAAUGUUUCUUUCUAGGUUGAAUAGCAAUUUCCUGUUCUUCUUCAUCAAGAUCUAUCACCUCUCCAAGAUAAUAUUUUAUUCUCUUAGAUUAAACAGGAAUUUGAGGAAGAGUUUCAUUUAAAGGAACAACAGUCACCUGGUUAAAGAUUUCUCUAAAUGGCUCAUAGUGACUUUCUCUUUCCUCACUUUCAGAAUUUUUUUCCAACCUCUCUUCUUCUUCCUCUCCCUCACUACUAUUCAGCUCAAUAAUCUCUUCUUGAUCUUCCUCCUCACUACUUUCUAUCUCAAUAACUUCCUCUUCUGCUUUUCUUUUGCUUCUUGUCACAACAACUUUACACUCCUCUUUAGGGUUAACAUCAGUAUUAGCCCUAACUUGAUUCUUUUCUGUGAUCUCUACCCUCU
rnacentral:lncRNA from 1 species